AGGAAGAGUCUAAGUCAUUAGAAUUGAAAUGUUGUAUAUUUAAGUGUGUGUGAUUUUUAAAUAUUUCACAAGUGUGUGUGUGUGUGUGUGUGUAAAGCGUGGUCUACAAUACAUGGAAUAAGUGUAGAGUAAGGAGUAAAACUAUUCCUGCGCUCUAAUUGGCCGAGCGUAAGCGUAAAAGAUGGAGUAGGAGUAGGAAAUAAAAUUUAUUUCGCUUACGCCCUUAUGCCUACUGUUACUUCUUACUCGACGCUUGCUCCAUGUAUUGCAGAUCACGCUUAACAUCUACACGUACAGACUAUCAUGUUGAAUCAAAAUGCGAGUCAACCACCAUGUUGUGAACCAAUGCAAUUGUACACAGGAAAUUCGUGAUGUUUACACAAAAAUAUGCACUCCGCAAUUAAAAAAGGCGAGUCUAUCUUCUAUUUUUUUUUUAUACAGCAAACUCAAUUUUAAUUUAAAAAAAAUUAUGUCCGUACAGAGAAUGUAGCAUCAAACUCGGAAAUCAAUUCGUCCGAAACUAAAUGCAGCGGAUCACGAACAACGUUCAUUGGAAAUAAUGGUUGUGCAAUUGCUGACUGCUGAGUUGCGGUGGUCGGACACAAUUGGUUUUCGCCCAGCAAAUCAACGCGGGCAGGAGAUUCAACGAGAUUUGUCCUGUUUGAAUGCGUCGAAUGAGUUGUUAGAUCGACCGGAUCUGAAAAAUAUUCUGUAGGUGCGACCAACUUGACGUCACAAACUCUUCAAAGCAUUUUUUGAUUGGUCAAUUCAUAAAAUUCUUUUCUAAUUGCUCAAUGAAAGACUUCGAAGCAUUUGUACGCGACAAAUAGAUCGCAUAAUAACUGAAUUUCUUCUCGUUUGUCGUGAGCCACUUUGAGGAUAGUUCUGAAUAAAUUUUCGUAAGUUUGUUGAAAUAACUAAAAAUAAUUGAUAUAUGAAUAUUUUGACCAAUAAUAUAAGUAUUCGAACAAUAUAUUGCAUUAAGUGAUAUAAUUAAUACAUAGACUAUAUUAUUAUACAGAUUUAUUAUUAUGCAAUAGUAAAUAAACUUAUUUAUGACAUCAUAAUACAUCAUUACAAAAAUGUAUUCUUUUUUAUUUAUUUGCGUGUAACACGCGUUCAAACACGCAUGAUAAUAGAAGUGCACUUGUAAAUAGAAAUCGAAAUAUCGUUAAUAAACAUCUAUAAAAACUG